UGGGGAAUUUUGGACAAUGGGCGAAAGCCUGAUCCAGCAAUGCCGCGUGUGUGAAGAAGGCCUUCGGGUUGUAAAGCACUUUUGUCCGGAAAGAAAUCCUUGGCUCUAAUACAGUCGGGGGAUGACGGUACCGGAAGAAUAAGCACCGGCUAACUACAUGCCAGCAGCCGCGGUAAUACGUAGGGUGCAAGCGUUAAUCGGAAUUACUGGGCGUAAAGCGUGCGCAGGCGGUUUGCUAAGACCGAUGUGAAAUCCCCGGGCUCAACCUGGGAACUGCAUUGGUGACUGGCAGGCUAGAGUAUGGCAGAGGGGGGUAGAAUUCCACGUGUAGCAGUGAAAUGCGUAGAGAUGUGGAGGAAUACCGAUGGCGAAGGCAGCCCCCUGGGCCAAUACUGACGCUCAUGCACGAAAGCGUGGGGAGCAAACAGGAUUAGAUACCCUGGUAGUCCACGCCCUAAAACGAUGUCAACUAGUUGUUGGGGAUUCAUUUCCUUAGUAACGUAGCUAACGCGUGAAGUUGACCGCCUGGGGAGUACGGUCGCAAGAUUAAAACUUAAAGGAAUUGACGGGGUCAUAGCUGUUUCCU
rnacentral:rRNA from 1 species